UACGUAGGCAGCGAGCGUUGUUCGGAGUUACUGGGCGUAAAGGGUGUGUAGGCGGUUGUUUAAGUUUGGUGUGAAAUCUCCCGGCUCAACUGGGAGGGUGCGCCGAAUACUGAGCGACUAGAGUGCGGGAGAGGAAAGUGGAAUUCCUGGUGUAGCGGUGAAAUGCGUAGAUAUCAGGAGGAACACCGGUGGUGUAGACGGCUUUCUGGACCGUAACUGACGCUGAGGCGCGAAAGCCAGGGGAGCAAACGGG
rnacentral:rRNA from 1 species